rnacentral:lncRNA from 1 species
UUUAUUUUUAUGGGGGGGCUAGGAUGAAAAUUUUGUCCUGCAUUUUUUUUUAGCUGUAAUCUCUGUCCUGCUUUUUAAUUUUUCACUCUGUUUGGUCCUGCCUUUUUUUUUUAGUUUAUCUGACUUUUUUUUUCCUAAAUUGUCGUCCUGACUUUUUUUUUGCAAAGUGUCUCAUCCUGCCUUUUUUUUUACUCAAAACUCCUGUCCUGCCUAUUUUUUCAAAUUUCAUCCUAGCCCCCCCAUAAAAAUCAAAUGGUAGCUCCC